rnacentral:rRNA from 1 species
GAUGAACGCUAGCGGCAGGCCUAACACAUGCAAGUCGAGGGGUAACUAGAGUGAUAGCAAUAUUACUUUGGCUAGACCGGCGCACGGGUGCGUAACACGUAUGCAACCUACCUUAUACUGGGGAAUAACUUCGAGAAAUCGGCGCUAAUACCCCAUAACAUUGCGAAGAGGCAUCUCUUUGCAAUUAAAGCUCCGGCGGUAUAAGAUGGGCAUGCGUCCAAUUAGCUAGUUGGUGAGGUAACGGCUCACCAAGGCUACGAUUGGUAGGGGUUCUGAGAGGAUGGUCCCCCACAAUGGUACUGAGACACGGACCAGACUCCUACGGGAGGCAGCAGUGAGGAAUAUUGCGCAAUGGACGAAAGUCUGACGCAGCCAUGCCGCGUGCAGGAUGACGGCCCUAUGGGUUGUAAACUGCUUUUGUACGGGAAUAAACCCUUCUACGUGUAGGAGGCUGAAGGUACCGUAAGAAUAAGCAUCGGCUAACUCCGUGCCAGCCGCCGCCGUAA